GGGUGGAGGAUAGGAAGGGGGCAGGGUCCCAGCCUCUGGUGCCUGGCUUACCUCCUGAUCCAGGCAGAGCUCAGGGAGGGACAGAAGCAGCAUCAGGCACAACUGGGACCUGCAAACCGGCCAGAGGAGGUGUCACAACACCCUCCCCACCCCCAGCAGGCUCCCCGCAUCCUGAUGCCAGCUUCUCAGAAAGCAGAAGUCACUCAUCACUUGCCCCCGCCCCGCCCAGUAGUGGCCUGUCCGUCACUUUCAGGAGCAGAGCCGCCCCCCCAGCCGGCAGCCCCACCGCUUACCUGCCCGCCCACUUCUCCAUCGCUCCUCCCUUGAAGCCCCAGGCCGGGAGAGGGGACCGGAAGUAAACACGCUACUCCGGCAUCUGAGCGUGGAGGGGGCGCGCUCUGCGGGGACAGAAGCCCGGUGGUUACCUCUCCAGUCUCCAGAGCGCUGGGGUUGGCAGGGAUGGCUCCUCAGGACAUCGAAUGAGGAUGGAGGUUGGGGGGGGGGGGGGCGUCCCACCCUUUUCUGACACUAAGGGUGAGAGCGGGAAGGAAUGCUGCCCCUUCCCGCCUGCCGAGACUGGAGGGUGGGGGUCUGACCUCGGCCUCCCGACUGUGGCCCAGUCCCCUCCCCUCAGCCUGCAGGAACUCCUCAGCCCCUCCCCCAUCCCAACCAGGGGCUGUUUCCAGGCCAGCUCAGGCCACACAGGCCACACAGGCGCGCACAUCUCCCCUAAGAUGAUUUUCUUCUGGUCCCACCUCCCGCCCUCCCAGGGGUCCCAGAGGGUUGAGGAGGGAGGCCUGGGCGAGGACAUGCCAGAUGCCGGCUCUGAGGAGGUGACAGGAGGCCUCUCUGGGCUUUCCAUAUCCUACCUGCCCCCCAGCAUUUUCUUCCCUUUAAAACUAAGCUCCUUCUGGAGCCCCAGGCACAUCUCUGCCUCAAACACUUUCUAGCCCAGGGACAAACUAAGUGGGCCAAUGGUUUAAUCUGUAGAGAAGCAGGUGAUUUUCCCCUUGCGAUGUAAGGGGACCCCUCCCUGUAAAGAAGGCUCAUUUCAGGUGCGACCAUGAUGGGCAGGGGGGCCCCAACGCAGGAGGGAUGCAGCCAGAGGGGCCGUUGCUCCCCAGUCACACACCUCGCACUCUGAGGAGCCGGGAAGUCCUUCCUCAAGUCUAGCUUCCAUUAGCAGGGAGGUGGAGCUCAGAAACCUCCCCUGGUCUCAAAGCCACAGCUGCCCCACCCCUCCAGCCCCUUGCUGCGUCCCACGAGCCCUCCCCACCCCCAGUCCUCAACCCGCUCUUAGUUCUGCUUUCCAGGAAAAAAAAAAAAAUGUUUCUGUUGGAUCUGAAAGGCACCCGGGAGAGGAAUCCAAGGAGCUAAUGCUGAGGUGGGCCAGCUCAGGGGCAGGAAAAUGGCAGAGGGGAGGGCAGGAAUGUGCUUGGGGGUAGCAACAUUCAGCUCCACUCCCCUCCCUGAGACCCCAAGACGUGGAUAUUUGAGGGAAGGUUUGCGGAGGACGAGCCUGAGUGCAUAGGGUCACCUCAGCUGCUUGGGGUUGGGAAGGGGUUGCUGAUGGCUGCUCUUUUCCCCCCGGCUGGGCUGGCCACUGAGGUCACCAGCUCCACCCUGAUGGGGGCGUAGGGGCUCCAGAGAAGGGCCAAUGGUCCACCCAAAUCUUCAGCUCUCUGCCUGACUCUGUGCCUUGAUGCUGAAGAGGAGAGAUGGGGGUGUGAUCACUGUCUUCCCCUUCUCUGCUGCUGGGCACCCACCCUUUCCACUCCCUCUCAGCCUCUGCUUCUCUCUGCUCCCCCCAGGGUCUGUAUCUUGCUGUCUCUAUGGGUCUACCCAGUACACAUAAUCCCAUCCUGAGCUGGGUUUGGCUUCAGCAGUUCCCUGGAGAAGUGAGGGGUGGGGGUGGGGGUGACGUGAACUCCUGGAGCCCUGGCCAGGCCUGGCUCCCUCUCUGGAAAAGUCCUACCCCACCCCCUGCACAGCUGGGCAGGGGGCCGACACCCCCUCCGCUGCAGAAACAGACACACAUUUGUGCUUCUCCCCCUUUGCAUGUUCCUCAUCUGGUGUGUCUCUCUGCCCAGGGUGAGGAAAGGAGAGGUCAGCAGUGGUCACCCUGGUGCCAGGCUGGAGACUGGUCUGGACAAACCUGGGCUCCUCCUGGCCACACCUCCACACUGGCCAGUGAGGAUCAAGAAGGGGAGACCUGGGAAGGGCCACACCCUUCAUCCCCAGAGGGACCCACUUCUGGGAAAUGGGUCACUGCUGCAGGGGGUGGAACAGCAUGUUUCAGGGCUUGUCUGGAGACUCCCUAGCCUGGGUCAGAACUCUGUCCUCGCUGUGCCAGCCUCUCCUGGGUCCUGGACGACCAUUCCAACAGGUGUCCUUCCUUUCGAAUCAUCAGGCUGAGCUGGAUCAAGGGCACCCGUCGGCAUCCCUCCCAGGGUCCCCAGCCCCAUAUCCAGAAUUGGAGGGGGUGGCAGGGGCACACACCGUCCAGGAGCACCCCUCCUGGAGGAGAGCAGGGGGCGCCAGCGCGUGCGGGGAGGUCCUGGGGUUAAAUAUUUGAAUUGCAAUGUUCUAGAACAGACAAAUGAGUCCCAGGUGCCCAGGCCUGCUCUCCCAACUUUUCCACCUAAGCCCAGAGGCCUACGGGCAGGAGAAGUUGUAUCCGGUUUUAAAAUAUUGACAAGUGAAUAAAAAAUCUCAAGACAGUAAGUAUACCAGAGGUGCCUGGGUGGCUCAGUCGGUCCGACUCUUGGUCUUGGCUCAGGUCAUGAUCUCACAGUUUCGUGAGUUUGAGCCCCUCAUCAGGCUCUGUGCUGAGCGGAGCCUGCUUGGGAUUCUCUCUCUCCCUCUCUUUCUGCCCUUACCCCACUCAUGCUGUCUCUCUCAAAAUAAAUAAAUAAACUUAAAAAAAAAAAAAA